GACUCAAGCGAUUUGCUGCUUCAGCUUCCCAAAGUGCAGGGAUUACAGUCAUGAGCCACCACGCCUGGCCUGGACCAAAUGUCUUGAAUAUUUCAUAAGGAACUAAUGAAACGGAGACAAUCUACUCAUGCCAACACUUCUGGAGAGGCUUCACAUGCUUGCAAGGAGGGUAACAAAUUGUGUGAAACUCUCCUCUUGCAGGCUCAAUUCAUGGACAUUUAAUACUAGGGCAACCCUCUGAAAUGUGAAUAUUUUAAAAGAGAGUCUGGAAUAUCCAGCGCCAUCCAGUAUCAUAUUUCCCCCAUCCACCCCUCACUCCCAAGUCCAAGAAAACAAGCAUGUGUCUACCAUGGGGCUCAGAAAGAGCAGGCAUUUCUAAGAGUUCCAGCUGCUGACCCUGGGGAGAUACGAUGUUCCUGUUAACCUCAAUGAGUUUCUCUAAUGAAAGGGACAAGGACCUCAGACCCCUAAGGUGCUCACCUUUCAAAAAGCAAAUCAUCAUUAAUGAUUAACAUUGAUGAGUUCUGGCACAUUCCUGGGCUGCUGCUGUUUGGAUAAAGACCUUACAGAACGUGAGAGUGCAAAGCAGAGGCCUAUGGUGUGGAGUUUCAUGAAAUGAUCCUCUGUGAAGCUCCACUGAGUGACAGUAGCAGGAACAAGACGGGGGAGCACGCAGUGCCCAUGCCUCCUGCAGGCCGUCCGGGUGCGGAAGUUGGAAGGAGCACGCCAGGCAUGGAGCUCACAUUUUGGAUUUCAGAGCAAAAUACCGUUGGGAGAGCAAGAGAUACACCUGAGUGAGAUGGGAGUCUGGCACUAGUGCCUAAACACGCACUAUCUUUUAAUGGAGACUAUUACAAAAUAAAUGGAAGGAGAUGGGAGAAUGUGGAUGGAAUUUGCUUGUCACAAUUUUCACGGGUCUGUUGUGUUCUGGAACGUAACCAGCUUGGUUUGCACCCUGAUUUAUUUGAAAACAACAAAGCUUUCUCAAGUUGUAACUAAGGAUUCACUCUUAAAAUACUUUACACUACGCGGUCAGCCCGGCGACGGCCUUUUCUCUGCCUGGGUAACAUCUUGCUAUGUUCCAAGGGCCUCAAAGCCACCCACCAAGAGAAUGUGGCUUGCCAAGGUGCUAAAAAGCCAUGACAAGGCGGUACCGGCAGUUUUGUUGCGUUUGUGUUUUCUGUAUUAGAAUAAUCAUCUGAUUUUAUUGUUUACUGUCAGUACAAUUUACAGAAACUCAGUUUAAAAAUAAAUCUAAUUAGUACUGACUGCAAUAACGCACACAGUGUUUAUCAACAGACAAUAAAAUUUCAACAGAUUCUUUUCAUUGGGUUUCGCUGAGAAAACCCCAGAGCUGCAUGUUAUUUGCUGCAUAUCGAGAUGCAUUUUGUGACUGCGAAAAGAAAAUGCCUUCUGGAGUUCAAUUCAGCCUGGGAGCAGGCAGCAAUUAAAUUAUGAAAAGCAUCGGAUAUUGAAUGUUUUUCCCUUGGCUUUUCUUGAUGCCACAUCAUCCGUCUCCAAAUUCAACAAGCUCUCUAUAAAACUUUGGAAUUGUGAGCUGAAUAAUUUCUGUGCACAUGACAAUGUCAUGUAUUAUAGUUACCUAAUGAAAAUAACUAAGUGGACAGCUGCUAUGACUAGCCACAGUUAGACUGAAUUAUUGUGCUUUGCAAAACACUGGAGUUCAGUUCAUUAUGUGCUUGAUCAGAGAGGGUAGCAGGGAGCCUGCCCCUGCCCCCAAACUAAUAGGACCUUAGGUGUCUCAUCUUCCUCCACUGAUAUGGUUUGGCUGUGACCCCACCCAAAUCUCACCUUGAAUUGUAGCUCCCAUAAUUCCCAUGUGUUGUGGGAGGAACCUUGUGGGAGGUAAUUGAAUUGUAGGGGUGGUUUCCCCCAUAAUGUUCUCGUGGUAGUGAAUAAGUCUCAUGAGAUCUGAUGGUUUUAUAAGGAGUUCCCCUUUUUGCUUGGCUCCCAUUCUCUCGUCUGCUGCCAUGUAAGACGUGCCUUUUGCCGUCUGCCAUGAUUGUGAGGCCUCCCCAGCCAUGUGGAUCUGUGAGUCCCUUAAACCUCUUUUCCUUUAUAAAUUGCCCAGUCUCAGGUAUGUCUUGAUCACCAAUGUGAAAACGAACUAACACAUUCCCCCACCUCAUUUCUCAGCUCUUUUACAGUAAAAUCCUUAAGAAGAGUCUACACUCAACAGCGCCUUUUCCUCUUCUUCAGUCCUCUCUGGAACCCAAUCCAAUGGGGCUUUUCUGUGUCCACAAUGUCCCUGAAACUGUCUUAUCCAGAUGCCUGGUGAGAGCACAUGGCCGAAACGCUGGGCAGCUCUGGGUCUAUUCUCACCCUGCCGGCAGGGGCUUCCCUGUCUUCCACCUCACGCUCUGAGAGCCUCACCUCCCAACAACCGCCAGGGCGAUCCUUUCAACAGGUCAGAUCAGGCCUUUCCUCUGCUCUGUUCUUCUCUUAGGAUUGUUCUUCCUGGGGAAACCCUUCCAGACCAUCCCUCCCCAUCCGGGUCUUUACUCCAAAGUCCGUAUCAGAAAGGUCUCUGCGAGUAUCCUCUGUACACAGCACAUUCCUCCCUUCAUUCUCUGGCCUCUCAUGGAUAACUUGUCUUAUUAUUAGUAUAGGAUUAUUCCGUAAUUGGCUUAUUUGUUCACCAUCCACCCCCACUAAGACAUAAGCAGCAGGAAAUCAGGGACUUCAUUCUGUUUGCUGCUGUAUCCAUGGCAGAUACAACCAUAACUGGCAAGAGUAGGUGCUCUAUAGAUAUUUUUUGAAUUAGUUCAAUAAUUUCAAUAUGGGCUCUGAAAUUAAAUUAUUCUGUUCAUCUAAAAAUUAACAAUAAAUUCACUCCAAGUAUUUGAUGCCAUAUAAUCUACAUGAAUGGAGGCUCAGGAGUUAUCAUUUGCUAUUGCUUUUCAUUGCUACAAAAUCUUAUCCUAUGCUAUGAUAAGAAAGUUCAUCAAAUUUAUCUUGUCUUCUCUAUGAGAAAAUAAUAAAGAAAAGCCUGACAUGCAAAAAAAAAAAUGUGCACUUUUCCUUUGCCAACCUUCCCUCAGCACCCCAGACCAUGUGAGUGUGUUCAAGUUCACACCCACCCGUAAGCCUGGCACAUUAUUCUUAGUGGGUUAACUAAUGUUCAGCAUAAAUUGAAAACAGCAGCAACAAAAACACAGCACAGUAUCUUCAAGAGGCCUGUCUGCAUCUGUCUUUGAUUCCGAGGACUGACUUCGCUGAGGUCAGCUGGGUAAGACAUUCCCUCUGUCCAAUAUCACAUGGAAAAGUCCUCAAUACGAGAUCGUCAUUCCUACUCCCUCAACACCUCCUCCCCUGGGUGUUACCGAUAAACUUACGACUGCUUCGAAGAAUGAAAGCUCUUCUCCUACCACCAAGUCUAUGAACACUGAAGGCUGCUUGGGGCAGCCGACUUUCAGGAUUCCGACCAGAAAGCUUUCUAGUUUUUAGGUACAUGUUGUUGUGAGUGAUAGCCCAGGACAAAUGCUCAGAGCUCCACAAUGAAGGGGAAAUUCAAACAGCACAUGACAGACUCCCCAGAUGUGAGAACCAGACACCCCAAACAAAAACACGGAGGGAAAUCGCUUAAUGCAUCAGCCACAGGGGCAGAAAUCGAAACCGUAAAUAACAGCUGAGGCCAAAUCCCAAACCGCCAGGUCCCACUGGAAAGAUCCCAAACUGCAGGUGACCAGGAGCCAGAGUCACCUGAGCCCUUUGGGGGUC
rnacentral:lncRNA from 1 species